AUUUUUAUCAUUAUUGCAGUUAAUAACAAAAAACAGAUUUAUAUUCAACGCUGCGUCGCUAUUCAAAAUAUCAAGUUAUUUAGGUUUCCCAAUUGCUUAAAAUACGAUUUUUAAAUAAAAAAUUAUGCUUGGUUGUGCAUGUAGCUCAAAUUUAGAUUUUUGGCAAGAAAGAGUCGUAAAUUCUCCAUCUUGCCAAGCUAUAAAAGAAGUUAUCAAAAAGAGAAAAAGGGAAGUAGUUCUAAACUGUCAAAUAAAAUCAAAUCAAAUAAAAAAUGUCAAAUAAAAUCUAAACUGUCAAAUAAAAAAGAUUUAAUUGUUGGACUUGAUUACCAAUUGAUUUCCAUCUGUAAUAUUUUUUGUUAAAUAUCCAUGAACCAAAUGAUAAAAUUCUUAUGUUUUA